CGGAGGAUGCGAGCGUUAUCCGGAAUCAUUGGUUAAGGUCUGUAGGCGGUUAUUAAGUCAAGGGUGAAGUUGUUGCUUAACGAUAAAUUGCCUUUGAUACUGGUAGUCUUGAAUUUGUGAAGUUGCUGGAAUGUGUAGUGUAGCGGUGAAAUGCAUAGAUAUUACACAGAACACCGAUUGCGAAGGCAUGUGACUAACAAGGAUUGACGCUGAGAGACGAAAGCGUGGGAGCGAACAGGAUU
rnacentral:rRNA from 1 species